ACCACAAGUUAACAAGCUCAGCUUUGUGACCUUAAUUAGGUUAGAACCUUCCUCCGGACGUGCAGCUGCUGCCUGAAACAGACCAGACCUUAACCAGUUUCACAUUGAAGGCUUUUGUUGUGCAUUUGUUGGAAAAUAAAUUGUUUAUUAUCAUAUUUGCAAAUUGUCCUUUUUUGAAGCAGUGGCUAAACAAAGAUUACAAGUGAGUACCUUGUUGAUCUUUGAUGUCCUUUCCACUGGCUGUCUCUGAACUUCUUUAGUGGCACUUUAUUGUCGAGGAAGCUCUGAUACUGCUUCUUUGUGGAUGUGAUAGGUUGCUAACAAAGUCAAAGGGGAGUGGUCAUUAUCACUGUUGUCUUAAGGAAAUGAUGAACUCCAGGAACUGAGCUACCUCCCCACUCAAGUCUUUGGCUUGCUUGUGAGCAACACUAUAAGCUCACUGUACCACAGGGCAGAAAAAAAAUCUAUAAAUAUGUAUCAUCAUACAUUAUUCUGCAUGUCAGCAUUAAAAUGUGUUGGAAUAAUUUAAAGCUAAGAUUACUGUAAGUAGCAUUCAUUUACACCUGCAGAAAUGUUCUUUUUGCAUUUCACUCCUGAGAUAAAAUUGAAGAUCCACAAGUGAAACAACUGGCACUGUUCAAAAGUAGCUUAGUUUACUUUCUACCAUACACCUUAUGUUUUUGAAUAGCUAAGCCCUUCAGGGAGCUGCUCGGCCGCUGAUUUGGAGUUCAUAAUGUUGGAGGAACAGGGGAGCAUUUACAGAGAUGGAAUUCAAGUUAAUGGGAGUCUGACAGAAAGCAUAUUUUGGUAAUAUAACUGAUUGACUGAAGAUCUAGGUCAGAAAGGUCUGUGUUUUCUUAUAGAUUCUUGCAGGACAACUGUGUUAAAAGUAUUUUGCAUAAAGUAUAGGACAAUGAAUUGUAGAAAUGGACAAAAAGAAAUUCAUAUUGCAAGCUGUCAAGUUCCAUCUACAGGGGUCUACCAAUGUUUGGCUCAGAGUCCAAAACAGCAAUCUGGUAGAGAAGAAAGGAGUUAAUUAUUGGACCGUGAUUCUUCCUUGUGUGGUUUUUCUGAAGUUGGAUCAGCAUUUAUUAUAGUGAUAAAUUAUUCUUAGCUAAUUUGUCAUAAAAUAAAUAGCAUCUGGCAUUACUCCAAAGCUCUACUAAGACAAAGCAAUUCUGCUGCAGAGAGAGUGCAAAAGAAAUGUUGCUUUGUUAAGCCAGGUCACAAGAGUUCUUCUAAAGCAAUUAUUAAAAAAUGCAGCUAUUGCUAACAAUAGCAAUAAAGCAAUCUCUUUAAUAGAUGCUUUAGCAAAAUUUAAAUUUGAGCAACUGAUAAAAGAGUGCUAACAAGUGAUUGGGGACACAUCCACAGAAUACUUGAUGGACACAGGUUUUCUUUUUAAACCAACUAAAAUCAAUCAAAAUCAUUUUUCUAGGGCUUACAAUUGCUCUUGAUGGCAAAUAAGCGUACCUCUCAUCAAAAUGAGGAUGUUUUACACAAAACUAGUAUUUAGACAUUUCUCCUUAUCAGAAAUAUUACACAACGACAUCCGCACAAGAAGCCAAUCCCAUCACACUCAAGACUGGACCAAAUUUUGCCAAGAGAAACAGCAAUCAAGGAGCCAAUUUUUUUCUCGCAGCUUUUGACAAAAGAUUUUCCACUUGAGGGGUUCAUCUUUAAUCAUUAUAAAAGCACAGAAGUUUAAUCCAUUUUUGAUGUAAAUGCUAAUAACUGCGUGUCCUUGAAGUUCAAAGUGGUCUUUGUGCAUGGCAGUAAUUAGCCAAGCAAGGUGGUCUCUGCCUUCUGCUUCUAAUGACAUCCUUAACAACAAACAAAUGUCAGCCUUACAAAAGCGGUAACAUUUUUUUUUUUUUUUGGCAAGUAGUUUUGGAGGAUAAAAGAGAUUUCAUCCCCAAGCUCUAUGCUAUCAGUCUGAAAUGAUCUAGAACAACUAUGCCAGAAGUUUUCAAAAGCCAGAAAAUGCAAAACAGAUGAUUCUUCUUUCCAGUAGAUUUGUAGAGACAUUAAUUAAUAUGGGAGAUAUAUUGGAUUCUACAAGAAUUGUAGAAUCAGUGCCACCUUUUACAAAGAUAGGAGUGAAACUAUUGCAAUGUGACACCUCAAAUCCUCAGCUUUUGCACAUCUCCAAAAAUGACAGUAGGAUGAACAGCAUCAAAAGUCCCUAAGAGAGCAAGGAAUAUCAACAAAACCACGGUUUCCUUGUCUCUUUUUUCCAGUACAGCAGAGAACGUCUCUUGGAAUGAGCAAGGCUGCCUUUGUGCAAGAGCCAAAUGUAAAUUGAGACUGGAAAUGACCCAGAUAAUCCAUGUUCUCACAGAGACCAUGGAACUGCAGGGCCUCUGUCUUUUCUCCCUGCUAGAGAUGGAUUGAUGAGCAUAAGACAAUAGUUGUCCAAGAUGGCUUGCACUAGUGAUAGUUUCUUAAAACGUUUCUUAAAAAGAGCCUCAUCAUUAUCUGCCCCAGAAAGGUCCUAAUAAUCUCAGAAAUCACCGGCCAAAUAGUGUUCUUGAGGUCCUUAUCUGCCAAGCCAGGGAGGGAUCCAUCAGGCAAGAAAUGGGGCAAACAGUUACAGGUACUAUCACAUCCUCAAGGGCAAAACAUGAAACUGUCCCCAAAAGCUCAAGUACAACACAAUACCUAUGCUUUUAUCUAAGAUGCAUAGCCCAAACAAUGGACAAAUUGCUGAAUGAAAUCGGUAUAAUACUGGUACAGGGGCAUGUUAUUCAAUCAACAGUGUACAAUCAGAGCAAAGCGUAUUUUUUUUAAUUGCCAUGGUAUAUACAUCACAACUGAUCAGAUUCAAUCCUCAUCUGUAUUAUAGUUAUUCUUAAUACUUUUCUUCUGAACACUUAGAAAUGACUUGUAUAAAGCACCUGGGAAAUCAAAUCCAGACAUUCAGCCCUUCAUGUCUUAUCCUCCCUUGUCUUCUUUGAAGUGGACAGGUUCCCCCACACCCCUGUUAAGGGUCACAUUCUCCUUGUAAUAAUCUCUUCCAUCAUCUUCUAUGUCUCGCAAGAAGCAAUAGGCAGGGAACAAGCCUCUUACCAGGUGUCAUUUUUGCGAAAUUAAGGGGACUCUGAAAUUGAUCCAAGUGCCACACAUAAGUGUUUUCUCAGAAAGAGGUGGUUUGAGACUUUACCUUCCUAGGACUGAGAGACUGGCCUAAGAUCACCCAGAUGGCCUCGGGACUAAGGUGGAACCAGAAGUAGCCUUAACCGCUACACCACAGGCUCUCUUUAAAGGACAUAACUUUAAUAAAAGCGGUUCUCUCUAUGUCUAGCAUUCAUUUUUCUUCCUCAUGAUCUCACUUUUCAAACCAGGAUUGUUCAUUUUGUUCAAUACGGGUGGAAGCACCUAAGCAACUUCAGCUGACUCCAAAAAUACUAAGCAGAUUUAGUACUUAAAUGGAGACAAUCAGGGAACCCUAGCGAUGUUGGCAAACUGGGAACAACUUGAUAAAGCUUCUGGAAGUUGGCAAGAUCAAAUCACUUACAGUAUAUAUUGUUACCUAGAAAACAUGAAUGCAUGCGGCCAUAUUGUCACUAAGAGUUGAGCUUGACUGAAAAUACAUUUUUGGGGGAUAUCUACAUUAUUUCUUUCAACUGUCAAGUCAUAUUUUCUUUUUAUUAGGAGCCAUCAUUGAUUUGUCCUUUUUUGGGGGGGGGGCAGUGUGGCCCUUUGUUUCACUAUGUUUUAAUUUUUAUCUAUGGGCCCAUUAUGUAAAGAAGAAAUUAUCUUGAAAAUAUGUGGCAAUUGUUGGCUUGGAAAAAGCAAGAAGGUGUGAGAAACGCAUGCCUGCCACACCUUGACAUGUUUUGAUAUAAGAGGAAGGGAUAGAGAAACACUUACAAGCUUUCAAGAUUCUGUUCUAACGGCCUAUAGAAGUAAAGUGGAUUUCCAGCAGUUCUUAUGGUGUCUAUAUGACCCAUGCAUCUUUCCUCAAGUGGGUCUCUCUUUUAACUUUUCUAAGUCUUGCUUUUGAACUCAGCCAAACUGACAAUAGCUUCCCUAACAGAAGCUAGAUAGCAAACAACUUUAUUGCCUAAAUUUGCUCAAUAGCAAGAAAUAUCUCUGGCAGGAACAUAAGCAGACGAACAAAGAGGCCUGUGCAAAAGAGACAGCACAAACCUUCAUUACAGUGAACAAUCUCAGCUUCUCUUCAAAUUACUUCUGUAAAAACCUUAGGUUGCCUAGAUUCUUUCCCUUCCACUCCAGAGCCAAUCCUUUUCCUUUCUCAUUAACGUUUUGAAUUGAUUCUUGUCUACUUCUAUUUAGCAAGAUCUCACAAGUUUGCCUUGAAUUCUAAACAAAAAGCACUGAGUAGCUCUGAGGUUGGGGCCUAUCACAUACCUUUGACAUCUAGCCUCUCUAUUUUCAGCUACCUUUUUUUUUAUUAAAAGCAAAGUAAUGAUCCAGCACAGAAUAAGCCUUGCUAUUUAUUACAAAGCCGCAAAAUAAGCCAUUUUUCUUUUUAACUCCACAUUUUACUUUUUCACUCAUAUGUCUAUUCCUAGUUUUUUUUAACCAUUGGUGACCAGAUUUGCAUUAAUUGUUUAUCACAGCCUGGACAGGCCUUUUAUUAAUAUUAAUGAGGGACUGGGAAGAAAGAGACCCUUUAUUUUUAGCCUACUCUAAUUGCGUAGUAAUUAUUCAUCUACAAAACAAAUGAGCCGAACUCCAUUGCUAUGGUAACUGAAAUUCUGGCCUCCCACUGUAACGCAUUAACAGGCUAUCAUCCCUGUUAUAUUUUAAAUUGAACCCUUUUGUACAAUAGUAGAAAAAUAGGCAACUUAAAGUAGAGACUUUGUUCAGCCGUUAUGUUAAUUUCCAAUGCUCAUUGUUAGGGAAUGGCUUUCCCUAGGAUUGUGGCGCAUCAAAUUUUCUGUCUCUGGUUGGGUGCACAGAACCAAACGCACUCAUUUUCAAUAUGAAAAUUCCCCACGUGGUUUUCAUAGUCAAGGAGGACAAUGAUUUGGCUCAUUUUGAUCUGAAAGUUUCUGUUUUUGUAGGUCUCCAAAAGAAGCAUUGGGACAAGCUGGCCCUCUACAAGUGGCCAUGGAGAAAUUAAAAUUUGUCUUGCACAGGUGUUACAAAAGUGAGUGUGAUAAAGACGGAAGUGUGCAAUGAAAGUAGGAGUACCUGAUCUAAUGGCAAUCAAGUAUAGGAAUGAAAACUCCUCUAAUUUAAAAGGGCAUGGAAAAUAUCAGCUUCUCCAAACUGGGGUAGUUCCCAAAUUAAAAACGACAACAAAGAACUAAUAAUUACUUAUUAUGAUCAAGUAUUCAAGAACUAACUGCAUUCUCUUGGGAUUAAAGGAUGUGAGUCUUUGAAUAAGAGGCAGUUUGAUGAAGAGAUUAAGGCAUCAGGUUCAGAAACUGGAGACUGUGUGUUUUACUCUCGCUCAGGCACGAAACCAAUUGGGUAACCUGUGGCUAGUAACUCUCUCUCAGCCUUAGCAAGAAGGAAAACUGCAGGGAUUUGUCCAGCAGCCGCCAGGAAUCAACACUGUCUUUAAAACAUUCCAAAGAAACAAACCAACCCAUCUCUGA